rnacentral:lncRNA from 1 species
CCCACAUGUUGUGGGAGGGACCCAGGGAGAGGUAAUUGAAUCAUGGGGACCGGUAUUUCCCAUGCUAUUCUCAUGAUAAUGAAUAAGUCUCAUGAGAUCUGAUGGGUUUAUCAGGGGUUUCUGCUUUUGCUUCUUCCUCAUCUUCUCUUGCCGCCACCAUGUAAGAAGUGCCUUUUGCCUCCUGCCAUGAUUCUGAGGCCUCCCCAGCCAUGUGGAACUGUAAGUCCAAUUAAGCCUUUUUCUUCCCAGUCUUGGGUAUGUUUUUUCAGCAG